rnacentral:lncRNA from 1 species
AGAAACAGUCCAGGUGGAAAACAGAAAAGUACUGUUAAUAAGUCUCUCUGAACCUUAGCAAAGGUUUAAUCCCUGUGAAAGCAGAAGGAAGUUAAUUUGAUUAACACUUGCCUGAAUUCCCUCAAACUCCUGAGCAUCCUAGCAUAACGUAAAGGAAUUUAGCAUUUGAGUCAAUUUCCUCCCCUCUCUUCCAGUCACUCCCAGGUUGCUUUGAUUAUAUGAAGUUAAAACAGAGUCAGUGUGACUGNNNNNNNNNGCAAAAUAGCUUGAAGAGAUGCGGUGUUUGAUGUCCUCAAUUACAACGGGGCCAGGCUGAGUGUACAAGAGAGGAUGGAGGGAGCGAGCACACGCUGGAGAGAAAGGAAGAGAUGGAGAUGAGACAGCAUGCAGCACGCGGGAUAACAUCUCCAUGGCAACCACAGUCCGCGCGCAGAGAACUGCCAAAAUAAGUCAAGAUCCAAAUGAGGACAAAGACUGCACAUCAAUUCGACCCUUCAGUGAACUCCGAUAGGUGAUGCAGCCUCCCUCUCAUUGGUGUUCUAUCACAGGACCAUGUUGAAGUCAAGGCUCACUGUGAUUCUCAGCUGUAUUUUGUAGCUGUUUUUCCACAAGUCAACUCUUAAUCACCAGGACUAAAGGAGGACAGGGAGGCAUACAUAACCCAAAUCAACAGAUAACUCAAACCGUGUUGUAGGCAAAGGCUCACAUUUCUCCCCCACUGAGUCCUUUGUAGAGCUCUUAUCACGAAGCAAAACUUAAUAAUGCUUUGCCCAUUCUCUUUGCUCCUCCACACACGCUGAUGGAAGUCCUAACUAGCAGCAAAAAUGACCGAAACCCAGCAGGAGGUGGAAGUGGGCAGGGGAAGCAAAAGACCUAGAAACUUCAUAAAAUGGAUAAUAAGUGACUGAAUGAUAGGCUCUUGGAAAAUCAGACCCUGGCUGAUGAGGCUUCUUUUUCUCCCUCAAAUACAAUGAAGACAAAUCAUCAAGUUUGCUCCAAGAUG